rnacentral:rRNA from 1 species
UACGUAGGGUGCAAGCGUUGUCCGGAAUUAUUGGGCGUAAAGAGCUCGUAGGCGGUGUGUCGCGUCGGCCGUGAAAACCUGCAGCUUAACUGUGGGCUUGCGGUCGAUACGGGCAUCACUGGAGUUCGGCAGGGGAGACUGGAAUUCCUGGUGUAGCGGUGAAAUGCGCAGAUAUCAGGAGGAACACCGAUGGCGAAGGCAGGUCUCUGGGCAUUAACUGACGCUGAGGAGCGAAAGCAUGGGGAGCGAACAGG